GGUGGGGUUCCCGAGUGGCCAAAGGGAACAGACUGUAAAUCUGUCGUCGAACGACUUCGGAGGUUCAAAUCCUCCCCCCACCACCA
rnacentral:tRNA from 1 species